rnacentral:rRNA from 1 species
UACAGAGGUGGCAAGCGUUGUUCGGAAUUACUGGGCGUAAAGGGCUCGUAGGCGGCCAACUAAGUCAUACGUGAAAUCCCUCGGCUUAACCGGGGAACUGCGUCCGAUACUGGAUGGCUUGAGUUUGGGAGAGGGAUGCGGAAUUCCAGGUGUAGCGGUGAAAUGCGUAGAUAUCUGGAGGAACACCGGUGGCGAAGGCGGCAUCCUGGACCAACACUGACACUGAGGAGCGAAAGCCAGGGGAGCAAACGGG